rnacentral:rRNA from 1 species
GACGAACGCUGGCGGCGUGCUUAACACAUGCAAGUCGAACGAUGAUGCCCAGCUUGCUGGGUGGAUUAGUGGCGAACGGGUGAGUAACACGUGAGUAACCUGCCCCUGACUCUGGGAUAAGCGUUGGAAACGACGUCUAAUACUGGAUAUGACUGCCGGCCGCAUGGUCUGGGGGUGGAAAGCUUUUUUGGUUGGGGAUGGACUCGCGGCCUAUCAGCUUGUUGGUGGGGUAAUGGCUCACCAAGGCGACGGCGGGUAGCCGGCCUGAGAGGGUGACCGGCCACACUGGGACUGAGACACGGCCCAGACUCCUACGGGAGGCAGCAGUGGGGAAUAUUGCACAAUGGGCGAAAGCCUGAUGCAGCAACGCCGCGUGAGGGAUGACGGCCUUCGGGUUGUAAACCUCUUUUAGUAGGGAAGAAGCGAAAGUGACGGUACCUGCAGAAAAAGCACCGGCUAACUACGUGCCAGCCGCCGCAGUAAGAC